AAGAUAAAAUUGCAAAGUCAAUAUAGUCACUAGCCAUGUGAUUUAUAUAUUCAAAAGAGCUAUUUUUAUAAAAAAAAUUGUGUGAUAAAAAUGUAAAAAAAAAUACUGGAAAAAGAAGAAGAAGAGAGUAUUUCUGUAAAUAACCCAAAUCAAAAAGCAUCUCUUAAAUGUGUAAAAUAUGGCCUCCGCAGGUCAGUAUACAUGUAUUGGCCCAAGGCACUUCGGUUCAUCAAAAACUAGCGUCAGUUUUUCUCGCUUUUACGUAAUAACAAGUGACAAGUGACAAGUGACAGCCUCUGUCGCCCUCUCUACCUCCAACUUCAUCUUUAGCUUCGCAUAAACCAAAAUUGUUAAUUUCAGAUUCAUCAAUGAAUACUCCCUACCCAGAACCCACAUCACCCACCAAAACACGUAUAGGCUGGAUUGGCAUAGGCGUAAUGGGCGCUGCUAUGGCCUCUCGCCUUCUCUCCGCAGGCUACUCUCUCACCAUCUACUCCCGUACUCCAUCCAAAGCCCUUAAAUUGCAGUCCAAAGGCGCAAUCCUCGCUUCUUCUCCACUUGAAGUCGCCAAAAAUAGUGAUAUUGUCUGUACUAUGGUUGGACAUCCAUCAGAUGUUCGAUCAAUUGUCUUAGAGAACCAAGGCAAGAGCAUUCUUGAUGGACUACAUCACGGUGGUGUUAUAAUUGAUUUUACCAGUAGUCAUCCUGCUCUUGCACGGGAAAUAUUUGCAUCUGCACGUGAAAAAGGUUGUUGGGCUGUUGAUUCUCCAGUUUCCGGUGGUGAUAUUGGUGCUAGAGAUGGUAAGUUAGCUAUAUUUGGUGGUGGUGAUGAGAUUGUUAUUAAUUGGUUAUUACCCAUUUUUGAGGUUCUAGGUAAAGUUACUUAUAUGGGUCCACCUGGGCGUGGACAGAGUUGCAAAAUAGCUAAUCAGAUUGUUGUUGGGGCUAAUUUAUUAGGGUUAAGUGAAGGGUUAGUGUUCGCGGAGAAAGUAGGGUUGGAUGUGAAGCAAUGGAUGGAUUCAGUGAGGGGAGGUGCAGCAGGAUCAAUGGUGAUGGAGUUAUUUGGGGAGAGAAUGAUAGGGAGAGACUUUAGGCCAGGUGGAUUUGCUGAAUACAUGGUGAAGGAUAUGGGUAUGGCUGUGGAUGUUGUGGAAGAGAGUGAGGAUGGGAGUGUGCCAGUUUUGCUUGGGGCUGCUUUGUGUAAGCAGUUGUUUGCUGGGAUGGUGGGGAAUGGUGAUGGGCAUCUUGGUACACAAGGUCUUAUAACUGUCAUAGAAAGGCUCAAUGGGAACUGUAGGAGAUGAAGAAUUCCAUUGACGUGUAAGGGGAAGCAACUUUGAACCAUCACCCACUAUAAAUAGACUACACAUACAUCAUUGCAACAAUACUCUCCAUGAAAUAACUAUUCAAUGGUCUUACCUUUUUACCGCUAUCAAUUAGAAGUGGAUUGCAGAGACGAAGAAAAAGCUCUUUCUUUGAAGAGAAUGUGAAGGGAGUGAGCAGUCUUGAAAGGAUUUCAUGAUAAUCUGAUGGCAGAAAUCUCUCCCAAACAGCAUCAGACUCCAUGGCUGAUCGGAAGGAGGUUGAUACCACCGAUGAUCUGCAUCCGUCUACAGGAGAAGUGAAGGAAAGAAUGGUAGAAACAACACCUUCCGGUAACAUGUAGUCGAAACUUGAAACCUGUCUUUGUCUUUCUCUUGCACAUGUCCUGAUCUUAAAUAGAGGUUGUCCAUGUGUUUCUGAAGGGGAAUGAAAUUUGAAAUUUUCUGACUCUACACAUAGUUUAGUAUAUAACCAAAGAACAGAGAGAUGUCAUCAUCAUGUAAUCAUCUUGGUGCCAUUGUGGCAAGAUUUUGACGAAAGCGAAAGAGAAUUGAAGACAGGUCAUCACUUCAUAAUUUUAAGGGGUAAAUUAUCAAGAAAAUAAGGUUUCAUUUUUUUAAAAUUCUUAUUUUUAGUUUUGUAAAAUGAAAAUAUAAAUAUAUUUGGCCAGUUGCAUUUA